rnacentral:tRNA from 1 species
GCGCUCGUGGUGGAAACGGGAGACACGCCGGCCUCAGGCGCCGGUGCCGCGAGGCGUCCGGGUUCGACUCCCGGCGAGCGCA